UCUGUAGCUCAGUUGGUAGAGCAGCGGACUGAAAAUCCGCGUGUCGCUGGUUCGAUUCCGGCCGGA
rnacentral:tRNA from 2 species